AACAACUCUUCUUCUUCUUCUUCUUCACUUCACUUGAUCUUCAUCAUGGCUCCUGACAAGGUUACUGUCAUGAUUUUGAAUGUUGACCUCAAAUGCUCCUGCUGCUACAAGAAGGUCAAGAAACUGCUCUGCAAGUUCCCUCAAAUCAGAGGUCAAGUGUUUGAUCAAG